UUUUGGCCCGAUUUUAACACUUUGUGAGGUUUUUGUGAAGGUAGGGUUCAGAGUUGGAAAACUACGAUCGUUGGUUUGAUGAGUUUGUUUGUUUUAUUUUGUUAGUGGAUUCGAAGUCUAGGUAAUAUUUUCAAGGGUUUUCAUGUUGGAAGAUUGUAUGUUUUUUUAGUUUAAGUUGAGGUUAGGGUUCGGAGUCUGGAAGUCUUAAUCCGGCCAUUAGAGGAGGAUUUAGAGGAAACUAAUCGUGGAUUUAGAGAGAGGGUGAAAAAU
rnacentral:lncRNA from 1 species